AGAGUUUGAUCCUGGCUCAGAUUGAACGCUGGCGGUAUGCUUUACACAUGCAAGUCGAACGGCAGCACGGGGCAACCUGGUGGCGAGUGGCGAACGGGUGAGUAACAUAUCGGAACAUGUCCGGAAGUGGGGGAUAACGUACCGAAAGGUACGCUAAUACCGCAUAUGCCCUGAGGGGGAAAGGGGGGGAUCGCAAGACCUCUCGCUUUCGGAGUGGCCGAUAUCGGAUUAGCUAGAUGGUGAGGUAAAGGCUCACCAUGGCGACGAUCCGUAGCUGGUCUGAGAGGACGACCAGCCACACUGGAACUGAGACACGGUCCAGACUCCUACGGGAGGCAGCAGUGGGGAAUUUUGGACAAUGGGGGAAACCCUGAUCCAGCCAUACCGCGUGAGUGAAGAAGGCCUUCGGGUUGUAAAGCUCUUUCGGACAGAAAGAAAUCGUGCAGAUUAAUACUCUGUAUGGAUGACGGUACUGUAAGAAAAAGCACCGGCUAACUACGUGCCAGCAGCCGCGGUAAUACGUAGGGUGCGAGCGUUAAUCGGAAUUACUGGGCGUAAAGCGUGCGCAGGCGGUUUUGUAAGACAGGUGUGAAAUCCCCGGGCUUAACCUGGGAACUGCAUUCGUGACUGCAAGGCUAGAGUGUAGCAGAGGGGGGUAGAAUUCCACGUGUAGCAGUGAAAUGCGUAGAGAUGUGGAGGAAUACCGAUGGCGAAGGCAGCCCCCUGGGUUAACACUGACGCUCAUGCACGAAAGCGUGGGGAGCAAACAGGAUUAGAUACCCUGGUAGUUCCACGCCCUA
rnacentral:rRNA from 1 species